AACUGGAAUAGAACAACUGCCCUCGUCAAUUGAGCAUCUGACUCAACUUGACCAUUUGUCCUUGCGAGGAUGUCAAAGACUCGUUAGUAUUCCAAGCGGCAUAAGCGAGUUGAAAUGUCUUACAUCACUCAAUCUCGCUGGAUGCUCAAAUUUAACGAGUCUUCCAGAAAGCAUCAAACAAGUAUCGAAGUUGGAAUCUCUUGAUUUAAGACGUUGCGAGAGACUUGAACGUUUACCAGACCUCCCAUCAUCCUUAAAAACAUUAAGGGCAUCAGAGUGCACCUCUCUGAAGUCAGCAUCAACUUCAUUCCUUCUCGAAGAUCAUGCUCGUGGAUUUUUGAAAUCGAAACUUCUUCAGUUUGAUAAUUGCUUCAAUUUGGAGGAUAAGAAGAAAGUUAUUGAGGAUGUUAUUGAAACGCAUCUGUUGGGUCAGGAUGUUGAAUUAUGUGUGGCGGGAGGUGAAGUACCAGAAAGGAUGAGAUAUAAGAAUAAAAUUGGAUCCUCGCUUUCA
rnacentral:misc_RNA from 1 species